rnacentral:tRNA from 1 species
ACUAUUUUGGCAGAUUAAUGUGAUAAAUUUAGAAUUUAUAGAUGUAAUUUAUAUUACAAAUAGUA